rnacentral:rRNA from 1 species
AAAUUGAAGAGUUUGAUCAUGGCUCAGAUUGAACGCUGGCGGCAGGCCUAACACAUGCAAGUCGAGCGGUAGCACAGAGAGCUUGCUCUCGGGUGACGAGCGGCGGACGGGUGAGUAAUGUCUGGGAAACUGCCUGAUGGAGGGGGAUAACUACUGGAAACGGUAGCUAAUACCGCAUAAUGUCGCAAGACCAAAGUGGGGGACCUUCGGGCCUCAUGCCAUCAGAUGUGCCCAGAUGGGAUUAGCUAGUAGGUGGGGUAACGGCUCACCUAGGCGA